rnacentral:lncRNA from 1 species
AAACAUCGGAAAGCUUCAACACAUUAGGAAACUGUUCCAGUCAUGCCCUAUGCUAUCUUGACAGAGGUGGAGACGCACCAGCAUUUAACAGCUCCUUCUGAGUUCCGUGAACGCAGCAGAAACUGCAACGCUGAAACAUUUCAGUGUGGAGAUCUGGAAGCACAGAUCGGAUUUUGGAGCUGACCUGGGCAUGUUUAUGAUCACAGUCCAAAUCAAACAUCACAGACCGGAUUAUCAGCCAGGAGCAGCACCCCUGAAGGUCCCUGUGUUCUGCCAUGCGACAGCUUUGCCUGGACCUCAGGUUCUCUUCCUCGGCCUUCCCUUGUGCCUUUGCAUUCCUACCUCAGGAAGA